rnacentral:tRNA from 1 species
GCUGGCGUAGCUCAGUCGGUAGAGCAGCGGUUUCGUAAACCGCAGGUCCUCAGUUCAAAUCUGAGCGCCAGCUCCA